rnacentral:piRNA from 1 species
UCCCUAGAGAUCUAGUAACCUUGCUGGAGC